rnacentral:rRNA from 1 species
UACGGGGGGGCAAGCGGUUGUUCGGAAUUACUGGGCGUAAAGGGGCUCGUAGGCGGCCAACUAAGUCGGAUGUGAAAUCCCAGGCCUUAACCUGGGAACUGCAUCCGAUACUGGAUGGCUUGAAUCCGGGAGAGGGAUGCAGAAUUCCAGGUGUAGCGGUGAAAUGCGUAGAUAUCUGGAGGAAUACCGGUGGCGAAGGCGGCAUCCUGGACCGGCAUUGACGCUGACGAGCGAAAAGCUA